UCCCCGUUACCGGGGCAGUCUGAUUAGAAAAAUCCAACUAAUCAUAAGGGUUGCGCUCGUUGAUGGACUUAACCAAACAUCUCACGACACGAGCUGACGACGGCCAUGCAACACCUGUCACUUGGCUCCCAAGGGCACUCACUGCUUUCACAGUAAUUCCAAGGAUGUCAAGCCCUGGUAAGGUUCUUCGCUUACCAUCGAAUUAAACAACACGCUCCACCGCUUGUGCGGCUCCCCGUCAAUUCCUUUGAGUUUUAGUCUUGCGACCGUACUCCCCAGGCGGGAUGCUUAACGCGUUAGCUUCGCUACUGACCGGGUCGAUACGGCCAACAGCUAGCAUCCAUAGUUUACGGCGUGGACUAC
rnacentral:misc_RNA from 1 species